GUUGUGAGGUUAAGCGACUAAGCGUACACGGUGGAUGCCCUGGCAGUCAGAGGCGAUGAAGGACGUGCUAAUCUGCGAUAAGCGCCGGUAAGGUGAUAUGAACCGUUAUAACCGGCGAUUUCCGAAUGGGGAAACCCAGUGUGAUUCGUCACACUAUCAUUAACUGAAUCCAUAGGUUAAUGAGGCGAACCGGGGGAACUGAAACAUCUAAGUACCCCGAGGAAAAGAAAUCAACCGAGAUUCCCCCAGUAGCGGCGAGCGAACGGGGAGGAGCCCAGAGCCUGAAUCAGCAUGUGUGUUAGUGGAAGCGUCUGGAAAGGCGCGCGAUACAGGGUGACAGCCCCGUACACAAAAGCGCAUGUGCUGUGAGCUCGAUGAGUAGGGCGGGACACGUGGUAUCCUGUCUGAAUAUGGGGGGACCAUCCUCCAAGGCUAAAUACUCCUGACUGACCGAUAGUGAACCAGUACCGUGAGGGAAAGGCGAAAAGAACCCCGGCGAGGGGAGUGAAAAAGAACCUGAAACCGUGUACGUACAAGCAGUGGGAGCACCCUUCGGGGUGUGACUGCGUACCUUUUGUAUAAUGGGUCAGCGACUUAUAUUCUGUAGCAAGGUUAACCG
rnacentral:rRNA from 1 species